AUGGGUUCCUCCGACGACGCAGCUUCCAUUAGGGUCGACUCUGCGGUCAAGGAGAAGCUCGCCGAGGACCGCUUGGCGGCGCUCAUUGAGAAGCACCCGCAGCUGAUCCUAAUAAAAUAUUUUGAGGAUCUGGCCAAGAAGAAUCUCCCAGCUAAGGAGAAGAAGGCCCCACCACGUAAGGAGUGUGACGACUCGAUGCCAUUGAGUCCACCGACGUACAUUCCCGACGACACUUGGUCCUCUACCGUGGGGGAUGCCCCGACGUGCUCUGACUCCACGAUCACCGGUUUCACCGACUACACCUCCGAGUAG
rnacentral:rRNA from 1 species